rnacentral:rRNA from 1 species
AGAGCGAACGCUGGCGGCAGGCCUAAUACAUGCAAGUCGAACGGACCCUUCGGGGUUAGUGGCGGACGGGUGAGUAACACGUGGGAACGUGCCCUUUGGUUCGGAACAACUCAGGGAAACUUGAGCUAAUACCGAAUGUGCCCCCAUCCUUAAACAAGAUGGGUGGGAAAGAUUUAUCGCCAUUGGAGCGGCCCGCGUCUGAUUAGCUAGUUGGUGAGGUAAAGGCUCACCAAGGCGACGAUCAGUAGCUGGUCUGAGAGGAUGAUCAGCCACACUGGGACUGAGACACGGCCCAGACUCCUACGGGAGGCAGCAGUAGGGAAUCUUGCGCAAUGGGCGAAAGCCUGACGCAGCCAUGCCGCGUGAAUGAUGAAGGUCUUCGGGUUGUAAACUGCUUUUCUGGGGGACGAGGCAAGGACGGUACCCCAGGAAUCAGCCCCGGCUAACUACGCGCCAGCAGCCGC